rnacentral:rRNA from 1 species
AUGAGGGGCCUGAUAUGGAACAUUCGGGGGUUUGGGCAACUGGAUCAGAGACGGCAACUAAUCGAGUAUAUUCGGGACCAGCGCAUUGAUUUUGUGGGCCUGCAAGAAACGAUCCAUUCGUCCUUCUCUCAAGUGGAGUUGGACUCGCUUGGCGGGACCAUGGGGUUCCAGUGGGAGUGGGUCCCGGCGUCUGCCCGUUCGGGAGGCAUUCUCCUUGGGGUUAAUAGGGAUACCUUCGAAGUUCUAUCAUAUUUGAGGGGAAACUUCUUCAUAGGAGUGGAGAUUAUACAAACAGAUAUUAACUUCAAAUGGGAGUUAUUAGUGGUGUACGCACCGGCGGAUCAUUCCAGGUCCCGGGAUUUUUUGCUCGAAUUACACACUAAAGUGUGCCAGUCUGCGAAUCCUUUGGUCAUAGCUGGAGACUUUAAUCUUAUCAGGUCAAGAGAGGAUAAGAGCAACCAGGUUAUUAAUAAUCAACAUCUUGUGGACGUGUUUAAUGAGUGGGUGGCGGACUUGGCGCUUAUUGAGCUGCAGAGGGUUGGAGCUCGCUUCACCUGGUCGAACAACCAGGAAACCCCAAUCCGUAGCAUGCUAGAUAGAGUGUUCAUUUUGAUGGAAUGGGAGGCGAGGUUUCCUGCAUGCGCGCUCAUUGUGGAAACAAGACUGGGAUCAGAUCAUUACCCACUUACCAUGUUGUCUGGGGAACGAUUCUGA